GAGGGGUAAGAAUAGGCCUAUCGACUUGGGAUAAAAAGUGGUCAACCAUUGGGGUAAAACUAAAUCUGCUUCUUUUUACCCCUAAAACUUUUUACCGUGCGUAAAAAGAAUCUUCUUGGGGUAUAAUAAGAACCUGAUUUAGACUUACCCCAAGGGGUGAUGUCUUUUACCCCAAAAAGAUUGGGCUCUUAGCUCAA
rnacentral:pre_miRNA from 1 species